UUCGAUGUCGGCUCUUCCUAUCAUUGUGAAGCAUAAUUCACAACGUGUUGGAUUGUUCACCCGUUAAUAGGGAACGUGAGCUGGGUUUAGACCGUCGUGAGACAGGUU
rnacentral:rRNA from 1 species